UACGUAGGGUGCGAGCGUUAAUCGGAAUUACUGGGCGUAAAGCGUGCGCAGGCGGUUUUGUAAGCCAGGUGUGAAAGCCCCGGGCUUAACCUGGGAAUGUCAUUUGGGACUGCAAGGCUUGAGUGCGGCAGAGGAGACUGGAAUUCCUGGUGUAGCAGUGAAAUGCGUAGAUAUCAAGAGGAACACCUGAGGCGAAGGCGGGUUGCUAGGCUGACACUGACGCUGAGGAGCGAAAGCGUGGGGAGCGAACAGG
rnacentral:rRNA from 1 species